rnacentral:rRNA from 1 species
GAGUUUGAUCAUGGCUCAGAUUGAACGCUGGCGGCAUGCCUUACACAUGCAAGUCGGACGGCAGCACGGGAGCUUGCUCCUGGUGGCGAGUGGCGAACGGGUGAGUAAUGCAUCGGAACGUAUCCUGGAGUGGGGGAUAACGUAGCGAAAGUUACGCUAAUACCGCAUAUUCUGUGAGCAGGAAAGCGGGGGACCUUCGGGCCUCGCGCUCUUGGAGCGGCCGAUGUCGGAUUAGCUAGUUGGUGAGGUAAAGGACUCACCAAGGCGACGAUCCGUAGCAGGUCUGAGAGGAUGAUCUGCCACACUGGAACUGAGACACGGUCCAGACUCCUACGGAGGCAGCAGUGGGGAAUUUUGGACAAUGGGGGCAACCCUGAUCCAGCCAUGCCGCGUGAGUGAAGAAGGCCUCGGUU